rnacentral:rRNA from 1 species
UGGGGAAUUUUGGACAAUGGGCGAAAGCCUGAUCCAGCAAUGCCGCGUGUGUGAAGAAGGCCUUCGGGUUGUAAAGCACUUUUGUCCGGAAAGAAAUCCUUGGCUCUAAUACAGUCGGGGGAUGACGGUACCGGAAGAAUAAGCACCGGCUAACUACGUGCCAGCAGCCGCGGUAAUACGUAGGGUGCAAGCGUUAAUCGGAAUUACUGGGCGUAAAGCGCGCGCAGGCGGUUUGCUAAGACCGAUGUGAAAUCCCCGGGCUCAACCUGGGAACUGCAUUGGUGACUGGCAGGCUAGAGUAUGGCAGAGGGGGGUAGAAUUCCACGUGUAGCAGUGAAAUGCGUAGAGAUGUGGAGGAAUACCGAUGGCGAAGGCAGCCCCCUGGGCCAAUACUGACGCUCAUGCACGAAAGCGUGGGGAGCAAACAGGAUUAGAUACCCUGGUAGUCCACGCCCUAAACGAUGUCAACUAGUUGUUGGGGAUUCAUUCCUUAGUAACGUAGCUAACGCGUGAAGUUGACCGCCUGGGGAGUACGGUCGCAAGAUUAAAACUCAAAUAAAUUGACGGGGUCAUAGCUGUUUCCU